rnacentral:rRNA from 1 species
AGCGAACGCUGGCGGCAGGCCUAACACAUGCAAGUCGAACGAUCCUUCGGGAGAGUGGCGGACGGGUGAGUAACACGUGGGAACGUGCCUUUUGGUUCGGAACAACUCAGGGAAACUUGAGCUAAUACCGGAUGUGCCCUUCGGGGGAAAGAUUUAUCGCCAUUAGAGCGGCCCGCGUCUGAUUAGCUAGUUGGUGGGGUAAAGGCCUACCAAGGCGACGAUCAGUAGCUGGUCUGAGAGGAUGAUCAGCCACAUUGGGACUGAGACACGGCCCAAACUCCUACGGGAGGCAGCAGUGGGGAAUCUUGCGCAAUGGGCGAAAGCCUGACGCAGCCAUGCCGCGUGAAUGAUGAAGGUCUUAGGAUUGUAAAAUUCUUUCACCGGGGACGAUAAUGACGGUACCCGGAGAAGAAGCCCCGGCUAACUUCGUGCCAGCCGCCGCCGUAA